UACAGAGGCCUCGAGCGUUAGGCGGAAUCACUGGGCUUAAAGCGUGUGUAGGCGGAUCGUUAAGUACCUUGUGAAAUCCCUCGGCUUAACCGGGGAACUGCGUCUGAUACUGGAUGGCUUGAGUUUGGGAGAGGGAUGCGGAAUUCCAGGUGUAGCGGUGAAAUGCGUAGAUAUCUGGAGGAACACCGGUGGCGAAGGCGGCAUCCUGGACCAACACUGACGCUGAGUGAGCGAAAGCCAGGGGAGCAAACGGG
rnacentral:rRNA from 1 species